AGUCGUGCGAGAAGUAUCUUCGGAUAUGAGUAGAGCGGCGGACGGGUGAGUAACGCGUAGGAAUCUACCUAGUAGAAGGGGAUAGCCCGGGGAAACCCGGAUUAAUACCGUAUACCUCCUUCGGGAGAAAGAAGGCCUCUCUUUGAAGCUUUCGCUACUAGAUGAGCCUGCGUAAGAUUAGCUUGUUGGUGAGGUAAAGGCUCACCAAGGCGACGAUCUUUAGCUGGUCUGAGAGGACGAUCAGCCACAUUGGGACUGAGACACGGCCCAGACUCCUACGGGAGGCAGCAGUGGGGAAUAUUGGACAAUGGGCGCAAGCCUGAUCCAGCCAUACCGCGUGUGUGAAGAAGGCCUUCGGGUUGUAAAGCACUUUAAGCAGGGAGAAAAAGUUAUAAGUUAAUACCUUAUAACCCUGAUGUUACCUGCAGAAUAAGCACCGGCUAAUUCCGUGCCAGCAGCCGCGGUAAUACGGAAGGUGCAAGCGUUAAUCGGAAUUACUGGGCGUAAAGCGCGCGUAGGUGGUUUGUUAAGUUGGAUGUGAAAGCCCUGGGCUCAACCUAGGAACUGCAUCCAAAACUAACUCACUAGAGUACGAUAGAGGGAGGUAGAAUUCAUAGUGUAGCGGUGGAAUGCGUAGAUAUUAUGAAGAAUACCAGUGGCGAAGGCGGCCUCCUGGAUCUGUACUGACACUGAGGUGCGAAAGCGUGGGUAGCGAACAGGAUUAGAUACCCUGGUAGUCCACGCCGUANACGAUGACAACUAGCUGUUGGGAGACAAUGUCUUUCAGUGGCGCAGCUAACGUUUUAAGUUGUCCGCCUGGGGAGUACGGCCGCA
rnacentral:rRNA from 1 species